CUAUCCGCUGUGCGCGUAGGAGUCGUUGAGAAGGGCUGUCCCUAGUACGAGAGGACCGGGACGGACGAACCUCUGGUGUGCCAGUUGUUCUGCCAAGGGCAUGGCUGGUUGGCUACGUUCGGGAGGGAUAACCGCUGAAAGCAUCUAAGCGGGAAGCCUGCUUCGAGAUGAGGACUCCCACCUCCUAGAGAGGGUAAGGCUCCCAGUAGACGACUGGGUUGAU
rfam:Streptomyces afghaniensis 772 genomic scaffold STAFG_scaffold728, whole genome shotgun sequence.